rnacentral:miRNA from 1 species
CCUGCAUUGUUGGAUUGUGGA